UUGGGUAACAUGGAAAGUAAGCGGUCUCCCGUACAACAGAAUAAUUGGCAGCGGCUGCCACCUGGACUCCGCGAGAUUGCGGAGUCUAAUCAGCGAACGACUCGGAGUGGCGUCUAAAUGUGUAAAUGCGUUUAUUAUCGGCGAGCAUGGAGAUAACCAGGUUCCUUUGUGGUCGGGAGUUAACGUUGCUGGAGUGUUAUUCCGCGAUAUUAUGCCAACCAUAGGUUUGGAAAUGGACCAAGAGGGGUGGAGUGAGCUGAUAACUGAUAACGUCAAGGCGUAGUGGCGCGACUGUAAGGUGCCUGAAAGGGUACUCCAACACCGCGAUCGGAUUGACAGCAGCGGACAUUACCCGAGACAUUUUAAGGAACUGCCCAGCAGUUAAGUCAGUGUCGACAAUGAUCCAGGGUCAUCACGGCAUUCAUCAUGAAAUGUUUUUGUCCCUGCCCUGUACUUUGGGCGAGAACGGCGUGAGUCAAGUAAUACGAAUGCGUAUCACCGAACACGAGAAAAAUCUCUUCCAGAAAUCGGCGGAAAUUGUCUACAAUAUCCAAAAGGGCCUCAAGAUAUCCUGAAAAAAAUUAGAACUUUAGCAAACGGCAAUUUGUAAUUUGUACGAUAAUUUAAUUAUUUUUUUUUUUUCGUAAUAAAAAGCCAGAUACUGAGUGAAGUAAAUAGUUGCGUGACUUAAGUAAAACGAUUCUCCGUUCAUCCGGGUCGAAGGACGAGUGGCUUGCCUUGAAGACCGAUCUCGCAGAAUGUUGACAAGACCAAUACAUAUAUCUAAGAUACUAUAUAAGAAAUAAGUAUACAAGUUGAGGGCUAGUUACUGUGUUAUUAAGAAUUAAGUUGAACGGCCUAGUGCCUAGGGACUCUGCGAUUCACCAAUUACACAAUAUUCAUUAAUUAUUUUUAAGG